UACGUAGGGGGCAAGCGUUAUCCGGAUUUACUGGGUGUAAAGGGGGCGCAGACGGCGAUGCAAGCCAGGAGUGAAAGCCCGGGGCCCAACCCCGGGACUGCUCUUGGAACUGCGUGGCUGGAGUGCAGGAGGGGCAGGCGGAAUUCCUGGUGUAGCCGUGAAAUGCGUAGAUAUCAGGAGGAACACCGGUGGCGAAGGCGGCCUGCUGGACUGCAACUGACGUUGAGGCCCGAAAGCGUGGGGAGCAAACAGG
rnacentral:rRNA from 1 species